GAGAUUUUGAACGCUGUUGCUGGAGGUCACUGGUCAGGUGUCCUAAGUUUACGUGUAAUUGUUAAAGUUCCUGCUGCAAAUUCUAUUAUGCUGGUGUAGACUUCAGCAAAAUUGUAUUAAGAAUACCCUAGACUCUUUACCAGAGAGCGAACCCAAGCACCCUGUGAGCGACUAUGAUGAAUUUCCCAUGUUGAAAGAAAAUGGCUGCACAGUUGAAUGUAACAACUUGAAGCUACUUAAGGUGGAUUAAAUACUUUAAAAGCAGGGAGUUACCUACUGUCCUCUAGCUCUGCUUGAAACUUAAUAAGCAAGAUACAGCCACCUGGUAGGCAAAAUGAAUGGAACACCUUUACAGUAUCCAAAAUAUUAAUUAGGUAUUAAAGUGACGUUCAACUCGCUGGUGAUCCAUUUACCAACACUGAUAUAAGAGGAAUAAAUAUUUUAAAGUUUUAUGAAGAUGCACUAUCCUUAGCUCCUACAGUUCCUUGGACGAGUGGUUUGGUUUUCGCGCUCAGCUACCAAUUUGAUGGUCCAAAGUUCGAUUCUCAGCUCUGCCAUCGCGGAAUCAGAGGAAUUUAUUUAUGGUGAUAAAUUUUCUCGAAACAACGUAGUUCAGACCCCACAAUAAGCUGUACUAGGUCCUGUUGCUAGGUGACCAAUUGGUUCAUAGCCACGUAGAGAUAUCUAAUCCUUCGGGCCAACCCUAGGAGAGCUGUUAAUCAGGUCAGUGAUCUGGUAAAACUAAGAUAUACUUAACUUAGCUCCUCUGCUGUACAUUCUUUUGUGCUAAUUUUGUGUAAGGGUAGGCAUUAUUACCUAAUGUCAAAGAAUAUAGUUUUAGUGAAAAAUGUUAUCGCGCAUACACAGCCACCAAGAAGAAUUUAAUUUGUAUAGCCCCACUGAAUGGCCUAUUUGACUGGCUGUCAUCCCUCCGUAGCUACGUUCUUUUAUUUAGUGUGUGUUAAUUCACCAUAUACAUUCUUUCUACCAUUGUGAGUCGGAGUAAUAAAAACACGUCUUAUGUUAAUGCGUUUUAAUGCCCAACUAACUAGA